rnacentral:piRNA from 1 species
UGCAAUGUAAGGUGGACCAAUACAUGUGA